CCUACGGGGGGCAGCAGUGGGGAAUAUUGCACAAUGGGGGAAACCCUGAUGCAGCGACGCCGCGUGAGUGAAGAAGUAUUUCGGUACGUAAAGCUCUAUCAGCAGGGAAGAAAAUGACGGUACCUGACUAAGAAGCCCCGGCUAACUACGUGCCAGCAGCCGAGGUAAUACGUAGGGGGCAAGCGUUAUCCGGAUUUACUGGGUGUAAAGGGAGCGUAGACGGCAGCGCAAGUCUGGAGUGAAAUCCCAUGGCUUAACCAUGGAACUGCUUUGGAAACUGUGCAGCUAGAGUGCAGGAGAGGUAAGCGGAAUUCCUAGUGUAGCGGUGAAAUGCGUAGAUAUUAGGAGGAACACCAGUGGCGAAGGCGGCUUACUGGACUGUAACUGACGUUAAGGCUCGAAAGCGUGGGGAGCAAACAGGAUUAGAUACCCCUGUAGUC
rnacentral:rRNA from 1 species